rnacentral:tRNA from 4 species
GCCCAGAUAGCUCAGUUGGUAGAGCAGAGGACUGAAAAUCCUCGUGUCGCUGGUUCGAUUCCGGCUCUGGGCAC